ensembl:snoRNA
GUCUUGUCUGUGAUGUCUCUAAACACAAAUGUCUGAACAAAUGAUUUUAUGAUUCAUUCAUUGUUACUGAGACAAGAC